rnacentral:rRNA from 1 species
UAGGGAAUAUUGCACAAUGGGCGAAAGCCUGAUGCAGCAACGCCGCGUGCGCGAAGAAGGUCUUCGGAUCGUAAAGCGCUUUUCUGGGAGAUGAGAAAGGACAGUAUCCCAGGAAUAAGUCUCGGCUAACUACGUGCCAGCAGCCGCGGUAACACGUAGGAGGCGAGCGUUAUCCGGAUUCACUGGGCGUAAAGCGCGUGCAGGCGGUUCGGUAAGUUGGGCGUGAAAUCUCCCGGCUCAACUGGGAGAGGUCGUUCAAUACUACCGGACUUGAGAGCGAUAGAGGAAAAUGGAAUUCCCGGUGUAGUGGUGAAAUGCGUAGAUAUCGGGAGGAACACCAGUGGCGAAGGCGAUCUUCUGGUCUGUUUCUGACACUCAGACGCGACAGCUAGGGUAGUAAACGGGAUUAGAGACCCUGGUAG